rnacentral:rRNA from 1 species
UGCGUAACGCGUGGGAAUCUGCCCUUGGGUUCGGAAUAACAGUUAGAAAUGACUGCUAAUACCGGAUAAUAUCGCGAGAUCAAAGAUUUAUCGCCCGAGGAUGAGCCCGCGUAGGAUUAGCUAGUUGGUGAGGUAAUGGCUCACCAAGGCGACGAUCCUUAGCUGGUCUGAGAGGAUGAUCAGCCACACUGGGACUGAGACACGGCCCAG